rnacentral:piRNA from 1 species
UCCUAAUAAUGGUGAAUAUGGAGAGUGAGC